CUGGAGAGGAAGUGAAAGUCACUUGCAAGCUACAGUCGCCAGAAACAAAUACAGAGCAGACAAAGCAAACAAGCUAGCUAACUUGCUUGCAGAUAAACUGUCCUGGUAGCAGGGUCAGCAUUUUCAGAAAAUGUAGACAGAAACAAGCAUCAUUCUCAGUUCUUGGAUCUGAAUCAACUCGACCCCAAAAGAGAAAAAGAAGCACGAAAAAGACUGCUCAUGACCAAUCCAGAAACCGGAUAAACAUUGUAAUUAAUUUUGAAAGGUGGAAGAGUGUUGCCGAAAUGGCCACCAUCCUCAUGAACAGGGAGAUACUGGUGGAGACAGUCUGAUUUCGAAGGGAACCUGAGGUUGUAGAAGUUGUGGUUGUGGAAAAUUCCAAAAGAGAGCGCACAGGCCACCUCUUCUUUACUCUUCACGCUCAGUAGAGGCUCCAGCACCGCACACAAAGUCCGGUAGUUAUUGGUAACAUACUCGGCAAACUCCUUGUACAGCUCCAUGGGCAGGAUACUCAUGGUCUGGUAACGGGAUUUGAGGCGUAGGGAGGCAUUGAUGAUCUUGCCCCCUGCUUGCCCCUUGGCCAGGACGCUAGGCUGGAUGACCGGGUACCACUGCUCCACAAACUGUCGGCCCGUGAUGCUGGAGAUAGGGAUACUGACCAGUCCCAGCGUCACCUCGAAACAGUACUCCUGUCCCAGGAUGCUGGAGUGGACGGGCUUGAUGAUGGCGUCCUCAUCCAGGG